CCCAAUAAAUAAAUUCACACCCUGUUAGCUAAUGAUUUAUAUCUGUUUUGGGUAAGCCUUCCCAGUUAGAGACAAUCGUCUAAACAAAAGGAAUGAAAUUAAAAAUGGUUAUCAUUUCAGACAGUAAUAAUGCACUGAUGGAAAGCCAGUUAUUCCCAGAGACAUUAAAAUCUGGUCAUAUACAGACUUAUUCUUCGUAAGCCUGUGAAAAUGUCUUGUUUGCAUCUUUCUGCAAACUUUUGACCUAAGUUGACAAUAUAUUUCCUGUGAAUUUCCAAAUGAAGUUUAAUUGUACUUGUUGACUGCAAGACAUUUCACAUCUGUGCCUUUUCUGAGUAGUACUACAAACAAUACUCCUUGGAACCCAAGGACCUAAUAUUAUGACAAUCUAAACACUGUUAAAUACAUCAUAAAGUUCCCAAUAACAUUAUCAUCUAUUAUAUCAUUAUCUGUCAUAUAAAAAUCAAUAGCACUCCCCAAUAAAUUAUAUGCUAUUAGUGACCCAGAUUUUUACAAAUAGCGGAACUGGGCUAAAUAGCAGGUGUAACAACAAAUAUGAAUCCUAUAUCUCAUCUUCAUAUAUCAUGGACACUUGACAAGGUAAGAGAAGGAAAAUGAGACACGUAAUGUAUUCAUAGCUCUGCCGCUAAGUGUCUAUAUGCGUUCAGGCAAAAUUCACAUAGGAGAUGAAUAAUGAUGAUGACGAUAGUUAUCCUUGAGUACCUAUCAUGUGCCAAGCACUUUGUUACCUUACAUACAUUAUCUGUAAAGAUCAAAAGAGUCCUGCAAAUUUUUUUUUGUAAAAAUCAGAUGGUAGGUCCCAGGUCCAGAUUCUAAUCUGAGUUUAGUGCCUCACCAGCAUUUUAUCAGAAAUGGCCAUAAUCUUUUAAUAACAUGUAAUUACAUUAGUCCUCUGAAUGAAACCCAUCUCUGUGUAAUAUUACACAGCUUUGCCUCUCUCUUGUACUAAUGUUCCUGCAUCCUGAAGAUUCUCAAACAAUAAUCAAUUGCUAUUUAUUCACUAAAUAUACUGGAUUUGUAUAGAUUGCAUACAGCCAAAUUUCAUUUUUUCUGUCGUUUUACAGGUGUCCCAAAGGUAUUUGGAAAGAGUAGAUGAUAAGGAGAAGCUAUACAGCAUACAAUUUAGGGGGAAUAUAAUAAAAUAAUUAAAUACUAAUGAAAAAAGAGACAUUUUUACUAUUUAACAUGAAUGUUAUUUCAAACGUCCACCUUUCAUGUUUUAAUAAAGGAGGCCGUUUUACUUUCUAUGAGCAGUAUGUGUUGUGUCCUCUUCACCUUAACUUUCAGUAAUUAGUGCUCCCCAAAUUCGUAUCAAUUCAGUUAUUCAUUGAAUGACAUUUAUCAGGGCUUUCAAUGAUGGCUUGGUAGAAACCUCAGUCUUUUUUAUGUACUACAACUAAUUUCUCAGUUCUGAAACAUAAUUUGCCUUGUCUGUAAAGAGUGUCUUUUGUUGCUGUUGUUAAACAGCUUAGCUCCAGAGGGACUAGAGCAAUACAAAACACAGAGGGUUUGGAGUAUGGAGACUUGGGGGUUUUGUCUUGCUCUGACAAGGGGUUGUAUGACAAUGUGUUGUGAGACUGAUUGAAUGACAGCAUCUUUUAAGUCUCGUUUAACUGACUUGUAAAAGGAAAUCUUUAGACUAGAUCAUCUCUCAACGUCUCAUUCAACUUUCAAGCACCGUAAUUCUAAGAAUCCCCCUGGCCAUCCAAAUAAGGCAUUUCUUUAGACUUGACAUCACCUCUGGACAAUACUGCAAACACACCCAGGGCUUCAGACUCACAUCUCUCAGGUUCCCACCUCUGGAAUUAACAAUUUGCAGUUUGGUCUACAAUUGAAGUCUUUUCUCCACACCAUAUAGAGAGUAAACAUAUUAAUAUUGCCUCGUGUGAGCACGAUUUUGACAUCGUUGUCACAACAGGAAACAAUCUCUGCUUUUAUUCUGUUUUGUUUCAGGUUAUACAUAGAUAUGCACCCUUUUCCCAACCCUGAACUUUUCUUCAGGUUACAGAAAAGACAAACCAUAAGGAAUAAUGCAAGGCAAGCUUGGGCCUGUGGAAUUGUCUUUAGAUUUCCUGAAGGGAUUGAAACUGUAGAAUUUGUUUUCAGUAGGGAAUUUGGUCAAACCAGAAUGAUGACUGUCUAAAAAAUUCUUGUUGGUUUUUAAUUUAAGCCAAAUAAUACAUUCAAUCCUCAGCUGUAUAAGUUAUGGGGUCAAAGUGAACGUAAAAAAAUUAGUUUCUACAAAGGAGCCUGGGUGGCUCAGUGGUUUCAGCGUCUGACUCUUGAUCUUGGCUCAGGUCAGGAUCUCUGCUUAGGUCAUCAUCUCAGAGUUCAUGAGAUUGAACCCUGAGUCAGGCUCUGUGCAGACAGCAUGGAGUUUGCUUGGGAUUCUCUCUCUGUGCCCCUCUCUCUCAAAAUAAAUAAAUAAACUUAGAAAAAAUUAGUUUCUACUGUGUAUCAAAUCCAAUCUUUCAUCAGUCUUUAAGACCAAUAAGUGCUUAUUUAAUAUCCAUUAUAACAUUUCAUAGACCCAUUUCCACUGGGAAUUAAAAAAAAGUACUCAAAAGACAUUCAGGAUGAAACAGAAAACAUUAUCUGAAUAUAUAAGACUUGCCUUUAAUAUGAACAACUGGCGCAAGCAAAUUGGUGCAAUAAAGCAAACAAAAAAUUAAUAAACAGAAAACCAUCUGCUGUAUGGAAAUCAUCUCGUUAAGGUUACAAACAUAAGUUUGAUUACAGCUAAAGAAAUCUAAUAUCUGCCACAGCCAAUAUUAAGAUUGCACUGUAAACUCUAUCCACAAAUCCCAUGAUAAACCCUUAAAGACAUUUCUGCAGCUGUCCUAUGAUACUGCAUACAAUAUUUCAUUUAAUCUCAUAACCACUUCUGUAGGUAAGUACUACCAGUUACUCAGUUUUGCAGAUGGAGAAUCUGAGGAACAAAGCAACUUUGUGAAGAGUGAAGAAUUUAGAAACUCAGCUUUUAGCCACCGAGCUACACUGCUUGCUACAAAAAAAAAAAGUGUGUGUGUGUAGUUAGCGGGAAUGUACAAAAACCCAUCUUUUCCCACAUGAACCUCACUAAGGUGCUUCCUGGCCAAGCUCUGAAAUACUGUACCAUAAUACACUCUUAUUUCAGAAAACAGACAUUAAAUAUUUGUUCUUAUUACACUAGGUUAUGUGUCAGAGGUGAGAUCCUAGAAAAUAAUCUCAUGUGCAUGAGUGUGAAUAUGACAUGUAACUUGGUCCUAUAAAAUAGCCUUUUCAUUUUUGUUUCAGAUAUGGAAAUAUCAAUGCGGUACCAUGUGUGAUUGUCCUGUGUACCUGUUCAGGCUUUCUCAUCUUUCUCGGUUCCCUGUCUUUAUUACUAUUCCACUUUUGCCCCUCAAAUAUGAUUACAUUACCUAAACUAGACAGCAUAGUUGAGAACCACAUAGUAGGGUCUCAACGACUUCAACUCCCAAAACAAAUAGCAAAAAAACAACAAAAAACAAACAAACAAAACAAAACAAAACAAAAAACCCUCCUUACAGUAACUCUGUCCUUAAGCUUCUAGUGAAAUCUCUUGGAACAAAAUGCAAAAGCCACACAUUAUGAGAAGUUCAGUUUUCUAUUCUAUUGUUUGCUAAUAAUACCUUAUCGUAAAUGAACAAUAUAGAUACACUUCAGGAAAUAAAUCUCCCUGUUAAUAAUGCAUACCCUAGCUUCCAUUUCUUUUCUUUUCUCUUUGUAACCUCUCCUCUUAAAAUCAGAGGUGAUGCAGGGAUUAGAACCAAGAGCAAUAAGAAAGAAAGAAUUGCAGGCGAUCCAUGGCAUUGUAAGGAAGGCAGGGAUAUACCUAAUUUCUAAUUCUACGCUGAACUUCUGGACGGCACCCAUUACAAAUCUUUUUCCAUAAUUGUCCUCCACACUCUAUCCCCACAACCCCCUUUAUUUUGGUACUGAUCUGGUACUUCUUCGCUAUGCCAACUCUUGAUUCUUUAACACCUACGAGAGAGGAAGGAAAGGCUCCUUUGAUCUAACGGUGCAGCCUGGAAAGCGCACAGACCAGGCAUCAAACGGAAGAGCAAACUGCUCCCUACUCCCGCACCCUCCCCCACCCGUCUUUUUUUGCUUGAGGAAGUAUUCACUAUAAAGCAUUCUAAUUUCCCUCAACAGAUCUUCGCCCCUCACAUCUCGUCUUCUCCUUUUUCCCCUUCCAGUAAACUUUCUGGCUCUUUUCCUUGGCCAUAUGGCUGCCACCGGAAUCCCGGUCCCUCGACUCAGCUCUGCCCUUGUCCUUUUUACUCUCUGUCCGUAGUCCGCACAAAUAAAAUAUAUCGGAUCCUAGCAAAAGCCUAGAAUUUGAACUUUUGCCUAUUUAAUCCCGCCUCCUCCAAGGAGCACCCAUAUAGGAAAAACAAAAACCCGAAACUCGCCUUUCUCGGUGCCAGCUCAAGGACUCGGUUUCCCAGCAAAGGGCACGAGGUACAGCCCCAGUCGGAAACUCCCAGCCUCACUGAGGGGGCGAAACGGGGUUUUCCAGGGACCUGUCCCUUUAGGGUUUAAAAGCGCGUCCCGUGGGAGCUUCGCUUUCACUUCUCUAGAGAGUACGGAGCUACAGGAGCCCAGGUACUCGCCCCUCUCCAGGCGCCUAUGCACCUGCCCAGGUGAGACCUCAAAGAAAAAUAAUCCUGUGGGUGCAUCUAAUCUGGGAGAGAGAGAGGGAGAGAGGCAGAGAGAGAGAGGGAGACAGAGGAUCUGAAGCAGGCUCCACACUCUGAACACAGAGCCCGAUGUGGGGGCUCAAACUCACAAAUUGUGAGAUGAUGACCUGAGCCAAAAUCAAGGUCGGCCGCUUAACCAACUGAGCCAUGACUGCAGCUUUGACCUGUUCUGACUCUCUGCGGGAGGGUCUCACCGAGCAAUGACUGAAUGCCAGCUGUACCAAGGAACACUUGCUGGACCCUGCUGCUGCCGGUGCCCCAAGAUUGCAGCCAGAUGCCAGCCCGCCCCAGAAAAAGUUCGUGAGAUAGUGUAGCAGCAGCUUUUCAGGGAUUAUGGAAAAUCACAUCACACGUCUGGCACCAGGCUUCACCUUAAGGACCUUGUUCCAGCACCAGCGAAUGUGGCCCCCUUCUGGGCUGGGACCAGAUGGCUUCAACAGUUUCUACCAAAUGUCCUUCCAGCAGUGGAACCGCUUUUCCCCGUGGAAAAGCGUUCCUCGUGGCCCGAGAACCUCCCGGACCCCACUCUGUUCCUGGGGAUUUGCCCUUCCCACCAGAGCACCACCAGGUUCUCUGGUGUCUGGCCCCUGAAGAUGCUAAAAUGAUCUGCUGACUGAUGGAAUGAGUUAGUGAAUGAGCAAAGAACUCCAUGAGGAAUAGAUGAUCACAAUCCGCAUAGGACAAAUGAGGGACGUAAAGCUAGUGAAGUUAAGUGAUUUGAUUCUUACACGUAAAAUAUGUUGUAGUUGAAAAUAUGUCUACCAACACCAUAGUCAGUGCUUUUUAAACAUUAAUGCAAUAGUGUUCCGUUCAGUUAGGCUGGGCAAUGGGAGUUAUUUUAGAAGCAGCCUUUGGAAAAGAGACAGCAGGUAAACUAGUCCCUACAUAAAGCAAAACAAACAACAAUGACAGCAAGACAGCAUCACACAACCAACCUCAAUACUUUAAUCAGAAAUUAGGUUUAAGCGCUGUAAGGAUUUUCAAAAGAAUUUAAUUAACACCUGUAGAAAUUCCAAAUGAGAAGAUUUUAGAUAUUUUCCAUUAUAAAGGGAAGAUGCUUUAUAACCUAGAGCAUGUGGAUCCAGAUCUGUGCAUCAGAUCAGGGCUGGACUUUAUAGUAGAAAGAGACAUUGUUUUUUCCAUUGCAGCCAAAAAAAUGUUUAAUUAUAUGUUAGAUAUAUACAAUAAAUACAUGAAAAGACAUUUAAUUAUGUCUUCAAAUAUUUUACUCCAUUAUAUUCCUCAGAUGUUAAGACUUCCAAGUGGACUAGAACUGGUAGAAAUAUUGCUAUAAAGUAUUAUCUUCAAACGGUGGUGCUUACCUCGCAUUACUAAAGGUAUUUGAAGUUUUCAGAGUUGAGUGCCAUAAGAAAGAAAUUUGUUUUGAUUAAUAAUAAAGUGGAUCUCAGUGAAAAGUUAUAGUAAUCAAGAGAGAAAAGUUGCUUAUUGAAAGUGCCAAAAUGUUUCAGAGGGUCCAAUUUUGUCAUUCUCUUUUAAACUCACGUGUGCCUUCAGUAGCCUAGUGGAAUAAUUGAGAACACAGCUGCAGAUCCAGAACUGCAUUAGUUCAAAUCACAGCUCAGUCACUCAACAGUGGUAGUAUGUUGGGCAAGUUAACCUCCUUGUGCCUCAUCUGUGUAAGGAUAAUAGUAGAAUCUCAUAGGGUUGUUCUGAAGAUUCAAUAAAUUGGAAUGCGAAGCACUUAGAAUAGUGUCUGUCCAGGGGCCCCUGGGUGGCUCAGUCAGUUAAGCGACCAACUCUUGAUUUCGGUUCAGGUCAUGAUCUUGCAAUUCGUGGGUUGGAGCCCCGCAUCCAGCUCUGCACUGACAACGUAGGGUCUCUCUCUCUUCCUCUCCCUGGAUUCUCUCUCUCCCUCUCCCUGCCCCUCCCCUGCUAGUGCUGUCUCUCAAAAUAAGUAAAUAAACAUAAAAAAAAAGAAUAGUGCCUGCCCUAUGAAACCACUUAAUAAGUUUAGCUGUUGUUUGUGAAGGGAGGAAAUCAAAUCAGACAAAAAAAAUAGUUCUUAUGACAAUCCAGAUCUCAGUGUCUGCUUUUACCUAUUCAGAUUUAAGUAUUAGUAAAUGAGACAAUCUACAAGGAGACACCAUGAAAGGCAGUGGGCAUGCAGGAAUGAAUAUGAAGUGGGCCUUGUCUUCAAAUGGCAAGCUGUACAGGUUCAGCAACCUGUAAUAACAUCAAUGCUCAAAGAGGAUGGGUUUGCAAUUGUUUAUAAAACCUCCAUGAAAUUCUCUGUGCUGACAUGAAAAUAGUAUUCCACUAAUUUUGAUAGUAUUCUAAUCUCUUUCCUCUCCUUUUCAUAGCAGUCAAUGCAAUGGAAAGAACAUGCACUUACCACCUGUUAUGCAUUGUUCCUUAUUUAAUUCACAUUUCCAGAAUGAGGACCACUCAGCCAGGUCUCUGAAUAAUGACCCUAAAACUACCUAUGCAAUAUUUUUAUAAUUAAUUCAGAAGUUCCAUCACUUCAGAGCAAAAGAUAGUUGUUGCUGCAAACUUCUAGCAAAGCAGGUUUGUAAGCAGAUCACAUAGUCUAUGCAAUGUCACCAAUCUUGCAACUUAAACUUGGAAAGACUGUGGAGCUCCUGGGUGGCUCAGUCGGUUAAAUGACCGACUUCGGCUCAGGUCAUGAUCUCGGUGUUCAUGAGUUCAAGCCCUGCAUCCAGCUCUGUGCUGACAGCUCAGAACUUGGAGCCUGCUUCAGAUUCCGUGUCUUCCUCUCUCUCUCUGCCCCUCCCCUGCUUGUUCUCUCAAAAAUAAACAUGAAAAAGUUAAAAAAAAUAAACUUGGAAAGAUUGAUGUGUAUCAUGCAUUCCCAUUUGGACAUUGUAUAAUUUACUGUUUACAUUUGUGAGAAAAGUCUUAGCUGGUAAAAAUACCACUAUGAUUAUCUCAAUAGUUUUGAGUCAGAUUGAGCUAUUUGGUAGUGGCUAUUAGGAUCUAUCAAAAGAGUGGCUUCCUCUCACCUGAGAGUACAGGAGUAGAAUCUGGUGCCUCAUAUCCAAGUCAUAGAGUUUCACUGGCGUGAUGCGUUCUGUGACAUGCCAGAUCUUGGUAACAUUUUGCUUGAGCAUGAAUAAGAAAUUUGUAACUCUAAUGCUGGCCAGGGACAUAUUUUUCACAGAUUAAACCAGCUACAUGGCCCACAUUAUAUUAAAAUAUUGUUUGUUAGAUUUGCUCUUUGCCUAAAUGUUAUUUUCCAUUCUCUACAACACUAGAAUUGUGUUGUUAUGGUACCUUUUGACAUUGUGAUUUUACAUAGUAUAAUUGUGCAUUUCUGUGAUUUUUAAACUUGGUUUCUUUGUAGAGUAUGUAAGGGCAUAUAGAAGCACAAUAUGCCAAAGAUAUGGUAAAUUUUCCUUCACCCUCAGAAAUAAGAUAACCACACAUCAGGUCUCCAUAAAAAUUCAUUCAGCAGAGCAGAGAGAGGUCUCACAUUUCAUAUUUAGCCACCGCUGAGAAUAUGCUAAAAGUUUUUUCUCAGACAGACUGUCAUUUCUACAAAUUUCAGGCUUAUAGACAUGCCAUGCUCAAGAAAUUCACUUUAACUUUGAUAAUAACUAAGAAAGAGCUUGUCACAUGCUAAAUCAUUGGAACUAUUUUGUACUCAAUUCUGCAACAAAGAAAACAGCACUUUGUCCCCAAGCCUCUUCUAUUUUCCUCUCCAUAUCCAACCAUCAAAACACACUAUUUUAUUGCAUUCAAAAAAAAGUUUUGAGUAUUUUAGGUCCCUGAUGAUACAUCAUUUUGGAUCAUUUUAUUACUGUUAUUACCGGCUUUUUCUGUGCUACUCCUUAAUAACGGCUUCUUAAUAGAUAUAAAAGUCUGUCUCACUCCUGAGAAAGCAUGAAAUUACUGUAUUAAUAUUUAUUUUGCAAAGAAAAACAAGAUAUCAAGGAAAGACUAUGUUGGCAUUACAUGUAGAUAAUGUGCAGAAUCUUAUGUAUGUGACAUCAGUUUCCACAUGGGUUUGAUAUUUCUCUUAUGAAUUCUGGGGACACUGGCUUAAAGAUUAGAUUCUUCCUCUUUCUUCCUACAGCUUAAUAUUAAAUAAAGAACAGUAUUGAUUCUGAGUUUGUAUUCCUGAGAAUUUUAAGGCUUUAUGCCCUUAAUGAAACAUGGUCACUGGAGGAAUACAUACUCCUGAGUUGUAGGCAAUUAUAUGAGUGAUUUUUAUUUGCCACAAAGCAAGAGAUGGCACAUGCUUUAGGGAUGUUUCCUUGGUGUUGAGUCUCAAUCCCUCAUCUGAACCUCUUCAGUAUCUUCAAUGACUACCCAAGGACCAUCUGCCCAUUGUCUAUAACAAUAUACCCAUUGUCCAUAACCAAAGUCUGGUUCUUAGGUAAGAGUGAAAAAACAGGACAGACAUUGCUGGUAGAGGACAUUCCCAGAUCUUAGGCAUUUUCAGAAGCCACAUCAAUGAAGGAACUUGGUUUGAGAAAUGAGUAUUCUAAUCCAGUAGUUUGAACCUAAAGUGAGUUUUUCCAAGAGUCAGAGGCAGGAAAGACCUAUUCCAGGGGCAGUAGAGGUGGCGGCAGCAUCUUUGUUUGGUAUCAACAGACCCCUUGAGUGGAUCCACUGUGACAUGGUGGCAGCAAUGAUGUUCCUGGUGUUCUCACCUGACUGUUCUGAGGACUGGUCUGGUUGCUGGCCACUCGGUUUCCUUUAGUUCCUUAGUUUACCCAGGCCUGGAACUUCACCCAUCUGAUGGAUUCUGGAAGGCAGCCAAUGUGUUUAUAACACAUUCAUUUCAUGCUACAGAAGUAUUACAACAAUUUGGAGGAGGUAUACUCAAAUAAUUUGUGGUAAAGGACCAGGUUAUUAUUAUUAUUAUUAUUAUUAUUAUUAUUAUUAAAAAUCUGUUACAGACUGAUCUUUGUGUUAAAUUAAAGGGAAAAACAUCUAUGACUGAAGAAAUGGAAUAAGGAAAUUAAAAACCUUCAAAAAAACCCAAAACAUCAUGGCCAGGGUUUUACUGGUUAAUUUUAUUAAACAUUUAAAGAAGAAAUUAUAACAAAUGAUAUUCCUCACAAUCUCUUACAUAAAAUAGAAGCAGAAGGAACAUUUCCUAACUCAUUCAAUGAGGCCAUCCAUUAUGCUUAACAAAGAUUCCUUGCCUGACAAAAUAUGAGUCAUGUGUCUGAACCUUCUCCUAGGCCCAUUUGCUCACUUCCUUGUAAAAUUCAGCUUUAGUAAGAAUUCUGCUAAGUCAGUUUAACCAGAAGCCUGCCCCCCAACCCCGCAUCAUCAAUAUCAAAUCCCCCUUCAUAUCUCCUCAGGCUCCUCAUCCUCCAACAUCUGCUAGAUGAUGUCUAAUUACCAUGGCCUGUCUAAAAAACUCUAAAGAAUAGAAAUUAUAUCAACUGGCAAAAAUAAUUUGCCAAAAUCCAGUACCCACGCAUGAUAGAAAAUGUCAGCAAACUAGGAGUAGAAUGGGAACUUCCUCAACUUGGUAAAGGACUUAAAUAAAAAACUGAAGUUAACGUCAUACUUAAUGGUGAGACACUAGACCUUUUCAUCUAAGAUCUAGAACAAGGCAAGGAUGUCUUCUUUUACCACUCCUAUUCAACAUUGUACUGCAAGUCCUAGCUAAUGCAAUAAGACAAGAACAAUAAAUAAAACAUAUACAUAUUGGAAAGAGAGAAAUAAAACUGUUUUUAUUUACAGACGAGUUUAUGUAAAACUCUUGAUUUUUUGCAAGGUUGUAAAAUAUCAAAUCAAUAUAUAAAAUCCAAUUAUUUCUCUGUAUACCAGCAGUGAACACUUGGAAUUCAAAAUUAAAAAAAAAUCCAAUACCAUGAGGAAUUAAAGUACUUUGGCACAAGUCUAACAUGUAUGCACAAUUUCUGUGUGUGGAAAACUAGAAGACACUGAUGAAAUAAAUAAAGACUAAAAUACUGGAAAGAUAAUCUAUGUUAUUGGUUUGGAAGAUUUUCCCAAUUUUAUAUAGUGAUUCAAUUCAAUUCUAAUUAAAGUCCUAUAAAGGUUAUUUUUAGAUACCAACAAAAUCAUUCUAAAAUGUGUCUGUAAAGUCAAGAGACCUUGGACAGCGGAUGCAAUACUCAAGAAGAAAGAAAAAACUGAAGGAGGACUCACAGUAACAUUUCAAGACUUACUCUAAUGCUACAAGAAACCGUUUUUUGACAGGAAUUCAAAGAUAAGUCAAUGAGGAAUUGGUAGUCUUUUCAAUAAAUGGUGCUGGAUCAGUUGGACAUCCAUGUGUAAUUAGAUACACCUUCAUUAUGUGACCAUUAGAGAGACAUUGGCUUGUACCCAUUUAUUUAAGUUUUCAUUCUAUUGAUUGGAUCUGUGCAAGAAUGUGAUUGGUUGAACUGAGCUGAGCUCAAAGAUAUCCUGACACUCUGGCUUCAUUUCUAUCUGACAAACUGUGUUUUUUCCACAGAUUUUAACGUGCUCUGACGCAUCCUUGUUCUAAACCUGUGAGGUGAAAUGUAUGUCAUCACUCUUUCUGCUCUUGUUUUUAGUGAUAUAACUGUACUCCAACAGCUUUUCUUUCCCACAAGAGUUACAAGAGAAUAGAAUGAACCCAUCUCUAGAUCAUCACCUUGUUCUGGUAGUGAUCCAGGUGGCACCAGAUUUAUUUUCAUUUAGAGAUAACCAAACACAGUGAGGACAUACACAUUGUUGUCCUUUUUUGGAACCUGACUCAGAUGCUUCCUUUUCUUCCUGUUUGUAAGCCCCGGUGGUCAAGAGGACCUGAUACUGACCCAACAUCCACAGUUAUCACUCAGUUGCCAAGAGUGGCUUGAGUAGGAGACAUAUUUUCCACAUGUUUUUGACAGAAUGUGGCAGUCCUGGUAUGUGUGAUUCUUCCUGCUCUAAAAACAAAAUUCCUUUAUUAUGAUUCUCUUUCUUUUUUCCUUUGUGUUGAUGGUAUUUUCACUAUUUUGACUAAUCUUGCUCUCUUUCCCCUUUCCUAAGUCACAUUUUGCCUAUAGAGCUUCCCCGUUUGGGAGUGAGCCAUUGCUGUGUGGUAGAAACAAACACUCUGAAACCAGCUCAGGUAUUUUCUUUUGAGAGAGGAAGUCAUCAAAGACAUGUGUGUGCAGACCUUGUUUCUUAAAACUAUUUAAUUGAAGAGGAUCUAAUUUUCCAUUUGAGAACCUGUACCCUUGAGACCAUUUCAAAUGAGUUGUAAUUUUUUUUAUUGAGGGACAAUUGAGCUUUUUUUAUUGAGGGACAAAGCUAAUAUAUUAGCUUCAGGUGUACAACAUUAAUCUUUGAUGCUUGUAUACAUUGCAGCAAUGAUCAUCAUGGUAAAUCUAGUCACCAUCCAUCACCAUACAGAGUUAAAUUUUUUUUUCAUGUGAUGAGAACUUUGAAGAUAUAGUCUCUUAGUAACUUUCAAAUACGCAAUAAGUAUUAUUACCUAUAGUCACCAUGCUGCACAUUACAUCCCCAUGACUAAUUUAUUUUAUAACUGGAAGUGUGUACCUUUUGACCCCCUUCCAUCAUUUCACCCAUUUCCCACCUACCUUCUUCCCUGGUGACUACCAAUCCGUUUUCUGUGUUUAUGAGCUUGGCUCUUUUGUUUGUUUAGUUGGUGUGGUUUGGUUUCUGAUUGUAUUGGUCAUAGGUGUGUAUCACAGUGGUGUAGAGGUUAUGUGCCUUGAAGACCAACAUCAUGGCCACGUCUGCAAUUGUUUCAGCUCAUCAUACAUGGAAACAGAGGAAGGAGCAACUACAUGAUUUAUUUCAGUGCCGUACCCAUAAUUCUGUCCUUUCACUGUUGACAAGCCCCCUUGAUUUGAUAGUUGGGAGCCUGACACUUUUAUUCUACUCAGUGGAACUUUAACUUAAGGCCUUUACCCCUGUUAUAAGUUAUUUAUUUCUAUUUAAUCUGAAAGUAAGCCUGAAAGGGUAGAGGAAAGAAGGUGUAGGGAGGCUUGAGGGCCUGAGGUAAGAGGUUAGUGCUGCUAGGAGUAAGGAAUGAAGUAAAGAAGAGAAAGCUGGGGCGUAAAUACCUUACUGCUUAUUUAAAUUUUUUAAAGUUUAUUUAUUUACUUUGAGAGAGAGAGAGAGAGAGAGAGAGAGAGAGAGCAAGAACACAGGUGGAGGAGGGGCAGAGAGAGAGAGAGAGGAAGAGAGAGAAUCCCAAGUAGGCUCUGUGCUGUCAGCACAGAGUCUGACUCAGGACUCGAAUUCACAAAUGGUGAGAUCAUAGCCUGAGCUGAAAUCAAGAGUCAGUCACUCAACCAACUGAGCCACCCAGGUGUCCUUUUACUGCUGAUUUUAAAACACUAUGUGAGUCUAUACUUCUCCUAAAAUUGUCUUUGUUGUCUGGCAAACUUUAUCCCUUCUUGCUGCCACAAUAAAAAAAAAAAGUUUCUGUAGGCUAGCCCAGCAAGAUCUGUCUCUAAAAGCAUAGAUUAUGUCUUUUAAAGGAAGAAGAAAAAAAAGACCAUUUUAUUUGUAAGUGGCCUGAAAGUCUUAAAUGCAUUCAAAACUACCAAUAAUUAAACCUGAGUCUAACCUUCUACUGUCACCUGUCAUCAGUUUUGGUGUAUCUGGGGCUACUUCAGAGAUUUGAUAUGACUGUUAAUUAUUUUCUUUCUGUUCCCUUUGGGUGCAAAGAGGAUCUUAACCCUUUGACUCCCUCUGACCUUAGUUCCCUCCACAUACAAAACUACACAUGAAAAGAGUAUUUCUCUAAAAGAAGUAUUUGUAGAGGCGCCUGGGUGGCUCAGUUGGCUAAGUGUCUGACUCUUAAUUUUGACUCAGCUCAUGAUCUCAAGGUUGUGGGAUCGAGCCCCACUACUGGCUCCAUGUUGGGCGUGGAACCUGCUUAAGAUUCUCUCCCUCUGCCACUCCUCUGCUCACGUGCACAGAUGCUCUCUCUCUCUCUCAAAAGAAAAAAAAUAAAAUAAAAAUAAAAGAGUUGUCUUCACUGCUACAAUCACAUAAAUAAUAAAAUGAAAAAUUUAGUCAAUUGUCCAGAUAACUCGUGUCAAGGUGCACCUUAACCUUUGAAAUUAUUAGAAAAAUGCCAUAGUUCUCUUCCAAGAAUAGAUAAGUUCUGGCGCCUUUUAUAAAACUGUAAUGCUCUUUAUUCAAAUUUACUAUUUUUUAAAGUUUGUUUAUUUAUUCUGAGAGACAGAGAGAGAGGGAAAGAGAGAGAGUCCCAAGUAGGCUCUGCACUGUCAGCAUGGAACCCAAUGAGGGGGUUCAAACUCACAAAUCGCAAAAUCAUGACUCGAGCAGAAAUCAAGAGUCAGACACUUAACCAACUGAGCCACCCAGGCGCCCCUUCAAAUUUACUAUUUCUUGCCAAAAGAUUUCAGUUCUGGAUUAAAAAAAAAUUAUACCAAAUCACAUGAUAGAUUAAAUGUGAUUUAAAAACUGAAAUGUUGCCAUGAUAAAUUGAAUAAUAGGAAGAGAAAAUUUGAUUAAUGUAAGAGAAAGGUCCAGUAGUUAUCUUUUUGGAAACCAAGUAUCUACUUAGUUGGUUUAUUAUUCUUCUUUUCAGAUCUACCAAAAAGUAACUUUUCAAGAGAGUGUUCUAAGAGAGUUCAUCUCUGUGUAUUUAUCCCAGGAAUAUCAUUAUUUUCAAAAGCUGAAUGUAUUAUAAUUACUAAACAAAAGUACACGCUGAUUUUUGGCAAUUAUGUUCAUUUUUAGACAGGAUUCAAAAUGGUUUACAAAAAACAAUCUUCAGUUUUAAUAAUUGUAAAAAAUGGGACUGCCAAGAUUAUCUCCCUCUGCUGCCACCUGUUGUUCUACCAAAGAAAUGACUCACUUGCAAUAUUUUUCCUUUUACAUAAAUUGCUAAUCAAAAUCAUUAUUUCCAAAAUUAAGAUCAGGUUAUCUGUAUGAUACUUUUUUCUGCGGGGAAUCUUUUUGUUGCUAACAGUUGGGGAAACAGGUUUUCAAGUACUCACGCAUGACCAUACAGAGAUUUAGAUAUUCCUCCUGGCACAGGCAGUAGACAUUUGAGAAGGUUGAAUAGACAAAAACAAAGAAAGCCUCUGAUUCCUAAACAAGCUCAUAAUACCCCAAAGAGCUUGUAAACUAAUCUGUUUAAAGUAAAAGCAUUUAACUUGAUGAUAGCACUCUUAGCCCUGGAAGCAAAAUUUAAAUUCAAAAUCCCCCUACCCCACAAUUGCUGUGUAUUGGGCACAUGUUCUAAUAUAACAUUGUAUAUCAAUUGCACUUCAAUAAUAAAUUUUUGAAAAUUAAAAACCUGGAAGUACAGACAUGAACAUAUCAUGGUUCCAGUCGUUGAUCAUUUCAGAAUUGAAAAGAGAAGACAAAUUACGCUGAGAAGGAAGUCCCUUGUUUAUGUUGAUACAGGAUGUAUUGUACAGGAAAUUGAUGCAUCAGGAAAUCCAGCUAGGAGGCUGUGAUAGCGAUCCUGCUAUGAGGUACCAUCAGUAAAAAGGAGAGUGCUGGUGAUGGGCACGGAGAAGACACAAUGAAAGAGACAAUUUGAAGACUGAGACCUAGUGACUAAAAGAGUUGGGAUACAAGAGACCGUUUCAAGUUCAGAGAGAGGGAGGCUGCAUGGCAGUGUUGGUUGGCAGGAAUAAGAGGUUCUUUAUCUGUAUUUCACUUACCGGGAUAUCCAUACAACUACUAUAGCUAUCUGAAAUGUAAAUCCAACAGACCACAAUAAUAAGCAAAUAGAAAUCAUAUGACAAACAGUGGAGCAAUUCCAAAAUAGAUAUGACAAAGAUAUCUCAACUUAAGCUCUUAUAUUCUAUCCACAUUUUUGUUAUUUUUGUCUCUGGCGAAGAUGAUACUAAGUUUUAUUUUAGAAAAAAAAAUUGACUUAGUUAAAAUUUUAAUGCAUGGUAGACAGGAAACAGGAAAUUAGGAUGAGGAACAAGGUGGGUGAAAUAAUUUCUGGAGGCAGACACACUGCAGCUUGUACGAGUCUGACAGCUUUCUAAAUAUCUGAGACUUCAACUUUUAAAAAUCUCACCUGACUCCAUGUUUUAAUGUUAUACUCUUUCCCUUCUCAGAAUCUCUCGGUGUUCACAUUGGCCUUAGACUGAUGCUUUAACCGGGAGACUUCAGUUUGUGAAUAUCCUGAUAUGAGUUGGCAAGGAGUUUCCUAGGAAGAGUGCUGGGUGGACUCUGCUUCUCACUCAGGAUAGUAAGCCCACUUGCAUGACAGCCAAUCAUGUUUCAACAACACUGAGGGCAACAAAAAUAAUGCGAACACCUACAUAGCACUAAAGUCAUUAUGAAGAACAGGUUUGCAUCCUUGGGCUGAGGAAGAAGAACCAUACUAGACUAUUUCUGCUUGAUUCAUUAUCUCCCUAGAGAAAUUCAGCACUUCUAGUCUUGCUCAAUAUCACUCUAUGUUCCUUUACUAGUCCUCUUUCCUAAAUUUCCUCCCUUGAAUGGGAAAGAAUGGAUGUCAGCCAAGGGAGGAGUCAGAGAGGAAGACGUACUUUCAUACAAACAGGUACGGAGAUGAAACAAAAGGUAGAGAUAAAGAAAAGGAGAGAGAAGAGAGAAGACACAUCUUCAAGAGAUAUUGAGCCAUGGUGCUGCGGCAUAAACCUCCAGUAAGUCUAAUCUAGUAAAGGCAUUAAUAUGUGUGAAGAAUUUCGUUUCUUUCUCAAAAGGAAAAGAGGGAACAAGAGCUUCUCAGAGAGACAUCAUGGUCAGGAAGAUGGGAACAGUGUUUAUUUGUUUGUAAGUUUCACUCAGGCUUGCAAUGACUGCAUAACUAAUCUUGACUUCAAGAAAGGUCUAUACAUUUCUAAAGUUGGGUAAGGGAGGCAUCCACAAGUACUCUUCAAAAGUGAAAUAAUAGCAGCAAAGAAGGAAGGAAAGAGAAGAAGGAAAGAAAGAGGGAAAGGCCAGUCAUUAAUUAGAAUACCUGUCUUCGACUAUUAAAAUAUUGGGUAGAGAAAUGAAUACAUUUUAUAAAAAGUAGCAAAAAGAGAAAAAUUUGUCAAAGCACAAUAGAACUGUCAGCACACUUCAAAGGAUCCAAGGCAUUCAUUAACUUCUCAGGACUGGUAAUCCUGACCCUGUAACUCAAUGGAGCCAUGUGACUAGUUUGGGCCAAUGAGUUGUGAGGCAAAGAUGAAGCAUGAGAGUACCUGUCUGGCACAAGAUUCUCCAGAGCUCUUCAUCUCUGCCACUGGGACCAGCACUUUUCCAGAGAGUGAGCCCUUCAGUUUGGAUUCAGAAUAAGAACAAUCCAGAACAAAGAUCCACCUGGAUUCAUAAUAGACAGAAAUCUGCAGAAUUCAGUGCGGCAUAACAAUUUGCAAGUCUGAACAACUGCAGAUGUUCAUUUAGUAGCCCACUCAAGAAAGCAAAAGGACGAGGGGAAGAGACUGAAGAGUCCCCAGGAGCUGGAAAGUUAUUGAAUCAGUGUGACCAGGAGACGACAAGAACUCUGCCUCUUGUGUCUGAGAUACGCUGUUGACUGGAUCUUACAUCCAAGGUUUACUCUGGUGAGUAAUGCCCUAGCCAAAUAGCAUGGAUAGAGAAUGGCACAUUUUGUCUAGCAGAUUUCAGCAAGUAUUUUGUGUGAUUCCUUGAUUUCUGGGCUUUUGUCAAUAAUUCUGUAAUCAUGAAGUUUAGGGGCUUUGGCUUCACUCUAUAAAGGACAAAUCCUAUGUAACGACAAAUCCUACUGGAGGCUGCAGUAUGUGGUAAGCAAUUGUCUGCAUGUUCUAACUUAAGGAAUAUUAUCCUGUUUCCCUAACACUUUGAUUGCUAGAAAAUUCCUUCAUUUGAAUUUAAAUGUCUCAGCUAAAAACCCUGUGAGGAUAACACAGGCACAUAAUCAAAAAAAUGGGUCACUGUGUAGGUACGACUCUGACUGAAUGGAAAGAACGAGGU